UGAUUUCUCUCUUUUGAUUUUAAGAUAUGUUACUACUAUGCUACUAAGGGUUACCUUUUGAUGAUUUUUAAAGUAUUACAAAAAAAAAAAACAGGUGAAAUAUUAUUAUAUGAACAGUCAGAGAAACAUGAAAAGACCUAUGUGUAUGAUUUAUCAUGAAAAUGCUACUAUCAACAAAAUAUAAUUAUAUAGACUUAAAAUGGAAAAACUUAAAUAUCUUAGAAACAGUAGCCAAC